UUGCGAAAUCCCGCCACGGCGGGAUCGUCCCCCGGUGGCGCGGGGGGCCUGAUGAGCAGCCAAAA
rnacentral:hammerhead_ribozyme from 1 species